GGAUUCCCUUAGUAACGGC
rnacentral:snRNA from 1 species